rnacentral:rRNA from 1 species
AUUGAACGCUGUCGGCAGGCCUAACACAUGCAAGUCGAACGAGUGGCGGACGGGUGAGUAAUGUCUGGGAAACUGCCUGAUGGAGGGGGAUAACUACUGGAAACGGUAGCUAAUACCGCAUACCAUCGGAUGUGCCCAGAUGGGAUUAGCUAGUAGGUGGGGUACAGGCUCACCUAGGCUACGAUCCAUGUCUGGGCUGAGAGGAUGACCAUCCACACUGUAACGUAGACACGGUCCAGACUCAUACGGGAGGCACCAGUGGUGAAUAUUGCACAAUGGGCGCAAGCCGGAUGCAGCCAUGCCGCGUGGAUGAAGAAGGCCUUCGGGUUGUAAAGGACUUUCAGCGGGGAGGCGUUACCCGCAGAAGAAGCACCGGCUAACUCCGUGCCAGCAGCCGCGGUAAUUC